CUCUGAGCCACUCAGGCCAGCUUGUACUUGGCAAGAUGGGAUCUGGGGCAGUGGAGUUUUACCAGGAUUGGGAAGUAGGAUGCUGGGGUUGAUGAGAGGAUCUAUGAGUCUGAGUUGUAAGGAGAACACAGCAAACCAAACCUCGCAGAUCUGAGCCAUGCUGGGUAAGAAGUAAUCUGCUUUCCUACCUCUUUCCCUAGUUCAGCAAUAGCACUCACAGCUUGUCUGUGGAAGUCCAUUUUUACACACUGCUAAUUAGUUUUAAGCACAAUGGGAUAGGGCAUGUGAGAAUGGCAUGAUACUGCAUUGAGGGAGGUUCAGACUGGAGGUAUGGGAUAUUAGGAAGAUGUCUGUAUUGUGAUGGUGUUCAAGAACAGGCUUCCUAGCGAGGUAGUUGAUGCUCCUAAGCCUGUCAGUGCUCAGGAAGCAUUUGGAUGAUGCCCUUAGUAACGUGCUGUAACUUUUGGUUAGCCCCAAAGCAGUCAGGCAAAAAAAGGACAGACAAAG
ensembl:lncRNA